rnacentral:rRNA from 1 species
GACGAACGCUGGCGGCGUGCUUAACACAUGCAAGUCGAACGGAAAGGCCCUGCUUUUGUGGGGUGCUCGAGUGGCGAACGGGUGAGUAACACGUGAGUAACCUGCCCUUGACUUUGGGAUAACUUCAGGAAACUGGGGCUAAUACCGGAUAGGAGCUCCUGCUGCAUGGUGGGGGUUGGAAAGUUUCGGCGGUUGGAGAUGGACUCGCGGCUUAUCAGCUUGUUGGUGGGGUAGUGGCUUACCAAGGCUUUGACGGGUAGCCGGCCUGAGAGGGUGACCGGCAACAUUGGGACUGAGAGACGGCCCAGACUCCUACGGGAGGCAGCAGUGGGGAAUAUUGCACAAUGAGCGGAAGCCUGAUGCAACAACGCCGCGUGCGGGAUGACGGCCUUCGGGUUGUAAACCGCUUUCGCCUGUGACGAAGCGUGAGUGACGGUAAUGGGUAAAGAAGCAACGGCUAACUACGUG